ensembl:lncRNA
CCCAAAUGAAUAAUAAAGUGUGUCAAAGCUGACCUAUGCGGUCUCUUAAUUUAGAUGUUCCGCUAUUUGACACAGUGCACCCCAACCGCCACCAAACCUCACUUUCCACUCUAUCGGUCUCCCCCAUAACACAGGAAAGGAAUUCUCUAAUGUAGGUUUACUAAGGCAAAGAGGAACUCCAGGAGUUUCGCUUCGCGGGUCAUCUGUGGCUUUCUCUUAUGUUCUCAAACAUCUGGCGACCGGUGAAAAGCGAUUCGCACAGGAAUUAACUGUUCUGUUUCAUCAGUAACUGAUGCACCUGUAAGUUUACGUGCCCCCUUACCUAUUGCCCUUAGCUGUCGCUGCACCACACUCAACGCACGGAUGAAAAAGCCUUUGAACUGGGAGUGCAAUUCAGACAAGCUGCGGUGUGGUUGGAUUCGCCUGGUAGUUUAUUUUACACUCUGUAUCUGCUUCAGUAAGCCUUAAAAAGGCGAAGGUAACCGUCUUGGCUGUAAGCCCAAUUUUGAACACGAAAGAAAUUGACUUCUCCUCCCCCAAGUCCAUGCCUUUUGUAAUUUGCUCUCGCGUUGUUGUUUGUGUCUGAAGCCACCCGAUGACCAGCCCAGGGACUUCACCUCGUCCUUGAGACCAGCACAACACACCAGAAAUAAAGCAUCCGACCCUCCUUACCCCCCUAACGUCGCAGCGGUCAUCCUUCUUUGAGAGACGCCGAGAACGAAACCAGCGAGAAUCGGGUUCAGCUGCUCUCUGAUGGGCUGUGGGUCCAGUGUUGACGAGCCAUCCUCUCUCUCUCUCUCGGCCCGUUUGUAGGACUGAAAUCUUAAAUCUUCUGCUGAGGAGGCAGUCACAUUUCAGAAAGUCUGUCAGAAACACCUCUUUGGGAAAAGCUCCCUUUCACACAGAACCAUCAUUACAAAGGAAUGAAGACAGCUGAGCCUGAGGACAGGUAAGAACUGAUCUCAAGUCAUCUGGACACUCGUUCUAUUUACACCUAUGCACAGGUGAUACUGAUAGUUACACACAUUUACCUGCACACAGGUCCUAUCUACACCUGUGCUCAGGUGAUACUGAUCCCCAGUCAGAUCCACACUGGUUCUACUAACACCUUCACA